UAAGAAAGACAAGUCAUGGAUUAAAAAAAUUUAGAUGACAUCAACUUUUAUUUAGUAGGCAAUCUAACUAUCUUUCAAAAAAUCAAAGAUAUACUAGACAUUUUUUCAGGUGCAAUAAGUACUCAAAACAAUUGGAAUAAGUCCAAUGCAAUUCGGAUUACCAACAAUACUAUGCCAAUUAAUUGGUGAAAGGAUUUUAAUCUCAAAUGGCUUGCCUCAAGAGAAACCAUUACAUAUUUAGGCUUCCAAAUAGGCUUUAAGAUACCUAUAGAAAUCCACUUUGACGCUACAGUGGCAAGUCUAUGAAAGAAACUUGCCUACUGGAGGACUGUCAAACUUUCACUAACUAGUCAAAUUUUAGCAGACAAUCAAGUAUUGUUAGCCUCCAUUUGGUAUGUAGCCUCUUAUUGGAUCCUUCACUUGAGAUCCAUCAAUAAGGUAGGCACUUUGACCCUCAAUUAUAUAUGGUCAGGUGAAACGGGAGAACGUGAUUGCCAUGAUAAGGUAGAGUGGAAAUCACUCAUUCUCCCACAUAAAAUAAGUGGGUUAAAGUUGAUUGAUCCCAAGAUUCAGAUUCAUGCUUUGCUGGCAAAGCUCAUGGUCAGAGGCUUGCUACCAGGAGAGGCAUCAUGGCAAACUCUAAUCCAGCAUCACAUCCACUC
rnacentral:lncRNA from 1 species